UACAGAGGUCCCAAGCGUUGUUCGGAUUUACUGGGCGUAAAGAGCUCGUAGGCGGCUUGUCGCGUCGACUGUGAAAACCCGUGGCUCAACCAUGUGGUCUGCAGUCGAUACGGGCAGGCUAGAAUUCGGUAGGGGAGACUGGAAUUCCUGGUGUAGCGGUGAAAUGCGCAGAUAUCAGGAGGAACACCGGUGGCGAAGGCGGGUCUCUGGGCCGAUAUUGACGCUGAGGAGCGAAAGCGUGGGGAGCGAACAGG
rnacentral:rRNA from 1 species